GCAGAGCUGAGCGCAACGGCGGCAAAGCGACGCGCUCUCAGUCGGGUCCGCAAAGAGAACGCACAAAAAAGUAAUUUUGGGCUCUCCCUCUCUCGUCAAGUCUCAGACGAAAAAGUGCGCGUGAUGGGAAGGAGGCCCAGCAACUAAAAUAUAUAGACUUUUGUGCACCCUUGCCUUUUGAAUAAUGCGACAUUUGUUCGUAAAUGAUAAAAGAACCAUUUAAAAUAAAAGACAAGGCUGAUGGUAAAUCUAUAAAAAAAAUGGAGGGCUAAGUCGUUCCAUCUUAAGCAUAUUAUCCGAGGAACUUGUUCUGUCCCACAACUUGGAGGGUGGCAAAACAAGAAGAGGCUCAGACUACCCAAAUUUCGCCCGUGCCUUAUUAAAUGCAAUCGCCCUGGUGGAUCCCUCGGAG